rnacentral:lncRNA from 1 species
CGCCAACUUAUUAUCACUUCCAGCUAGACGUUCGUGGUGUGAACAUGUCCUUUCCGUGCAAUAUAUGUGCCAAAGUAUUUUCAACACGCGGCAACCUCAAGCGUCAUACUUUGAAUACCCAUGUACCCAUGGAGAUGUUCAAAGCAAACCAGUUGAAAUCUCAGCAGGAUCUACAGUUUUGCAGCAUCCUUUCACAUGUAUCGUAGCUGGGUGUACCCAAAGCGGCAAGACUGUGUGGGUAAAAUCUCUCUUGGAGAAUGCACAGAAAACUAUAAGUCCUGCUCCUCAACGCAUUAUCUGGUGUUAUGGUCAAUGGCAAUCCUCCUAUUUUGAUAUGAUGAGAACGAUUCCUGAAAUCGAGUUUAAUAAAGGCAUUCCAAAAGACAUUGACAACACAGACUACUUGGAUGUAUCGCAACGGAAUUUGAUCGUACUGGACGAUCUCAUGGCACAAUCUAGUAAAGACAAAUGUAUUGCUGAUCUUUUUACCAAAGGAAGCCAUCACCGUAAUUU